UAUCAAUAUCAUUACCUGGACCCUUAUCUCCUGGAAUAACCAUUGACAAGAUAAGUGAUGAUUGUUUCAUGCACAUCCAUGGUGGCAAAUUGUAAGGUAUCAAAAUGACUGGCCAAGUGCUGUAGGUAGAACUCAGGGUCUGAAAUGGAUUGAAGCCAUCAGAAGCUAAGCCAAACCUAACACUGCGAACAUCAGAGGCACAAUCAGGAUGCCUAUCAUCAAAUGCUUUCCAUUGAAGACUAUCUGCUGGAUGUCUCAACAUUCCAUCCUUUGUACGUCCUUCAUCAUGCCAUCUCACUGAUGAAGCUGUUUUUGAUGAUACAUAAAUCCUUUUCAAUCUAGAUAUAAGAGG
rnacentral:lncRNA from 1 species